rnacentral:rRNA from 1 species
CGGUAGACGUUUGAUCCUGGCGUCAGGUCGAACGCUGGCGGCUGCCUAAUACAUGCAAGUCGAGCGGACCGAACGAGGGCUUGCUCUUGUUUGGUCAGCGGCGGACGGGUGAGUACACGUGGGCAACCUGCCCGCAAGACCGGGAUAACUCCGGGAAACCGGAGCUAAUACCGGAUAACACCGAAGACCGCAUGGGUCUUCGGUUGAAAGGCGGCCUUUGGGCUGUCGCUUGCGGAUGGGCCCGCGGCGCAUUAGCUAGUUGGUGAGGUAACGGCUCACCAAGGCGACGAUGCGUAGCCGGCCUGAGAGGGUGACCGGCCACACUGGGACUGAGACACGGCCCAGACUCCUACGGGAGGCAGCAGUAGGGAAUCUUCCGCAAUGGGCGAAAGCCUGACGGAGCGACGCCGCGUGAGCGAAGAAGGCCUUCGGGUCGUAAAGCUCUGUUGUGAGGGACGAAGGAGCGCCGUUCGAAGAGGGCGGCGCGGUGACGGCACCUCACGAGAAAGCCCCGGCUAACUACGUG